UGUCACUGGGAAUAGUGACUCCGAAGACACAUUGUUUUAGCUGAAAUCUGUUCAUUAGAAAGUUCUGUCACCACCACUUUAAUGUCUCUCGACACCCAUGCAAUCAGUGGCUGAACUUUGAGACAUGGCUUCAGAAAGCCCCGGUGUUACCACAAUCAUGCUUGCCAGUGUUUACAGCCAAUCAGUAGGAAGUGGCUUCUGCCUCCAUUCUGACUUCCAAAUCUCUUGCAAAUGCAUAUAAUUGGUUGAACCUAAUUCACAGUUAGAACCCCAGCUGCAAGUGAGACUGGAAAAAUGGCUCUCAGAGUUCCCGCCUCUGCAGUAGAGGAAGACACUCCAGAAGGAGUUGAGAAUGGGUGCUGAGUGCCUCUUCAGGAUGUCUGUCACACCUCAGGAAACCUGCCAGGAAUACCAAAGGGAGUGAAAAAUCCAAGGUUGGGAAGCCCUGGGACAUUGAAGUUACAACUGGACGAUAAAAACAGAGUUUUUUCCUUGUGACGUGACCACUGUGAUGUAAAGCUGUAUCUCCUUCAUUUCAUCAAGAAAUUCUUAAAAUUCUCCCCCAACGUGCUUUCAUCUUUCCCUUCAUUGCCAACUCUGUAAGAAGUACCACGCCUUUUCUUUGAAUCUGAUUCUCCUCCAAGAAGCAAUGCUUCUCUGAGGCUUUCACCUUUGCUCACAUCAAAGCCCCCACACUGAAUAAAUACCAUCCUUACAUGCCCUUCCAGAGACUCCACUAAUGGACGAGCUUCAUCCAGCAAAAGAUAACUGGGGAAACUUCAGCAAAAGGACUGUUGAUGAAAAUUUGCUGUAUUUGAUUAUAUAGCUAAGACUAAAACAGGGAACAUGGUUGGAAUUAUACUAAGUAAAUAUGAUAUGUUCUCACAAAGUAGAAAGAAUGCAACUAACUAAUAUAGAAGAAGAGGGAAAGUAAAAUAGUAUUGUUUACAAUUUUAUAGGUAUUGGGUGUGAGUUAAAUUAUACCACUUAAAAUGAACAGAACAGACAGUAAAAAGUGAAGUAAGAAAAAAGGACAGAGGUAUCAUAAAAGAUACAAAUUCAGAGGUAUUGAAAUACUUAUGCAUCAAAACAACUAUGGCAAAAUUUUACUGAUUCAGUAUUAUGCCUAUGAAAAUUAUUCAGUUCAGUGAUUUGGAGAAGAGGGUAAAGAAAUGUUUACACAUCAGAAUCUGUGGAGGGGAGAAUGUGUGUCUGGAAAGAAAAUGGUAUUUUGUCUCAUUGGUUUGAUUUGUUUUUAGUUAUAAUAUUUCAUCUAUUUUGAAUUUUAUAAAAAUAACAGUAAUGUAUGUGAUUUUUAUGCUGAUGAAGAGAAAAUGGAUUCAAAAAGGUUAAGAAACACUAAUCCAAGGGAGCCUCCAGAAUAAUUGUGGCCAUCUGAAUUUGAACCUCCUCACAGAACCCUUAAAUUCAACAGGAGCACAAGAUAAUCACCCAUGGUCCAUGCCUUCAGCGUUAGUGGAAGAUGGAGGAUACCGCAAAUGUUAAGUGACCAAUAAGUAGAGAAACAAACACCAUAUUCCCAAUGAACUCCCAUCACUUAUACCCACUGUAAGCUGUGUGCAGAGAGUGGGAGAGAGAAGACUUAAAAUCCCCAGGAAAAAGAGGAAAGAGGCAGAGAAAACUUAGACAUAGCAUAAACAAAAUCACCUCCAGAAAGUAAAAGUUUCACUGCUAAGUGACACAUUCACAGCACAGUUAAAGGGAAGGGGAUUGAAAAUAAGCAGAACCAGAAGUAGCAGCUUCAAAGGAGCAUUGCUUCUUGGGGAGAAUCACAUAAACUAAGAAACAGUAGUGCUCCUUAGAGACUUGAUAGUGAUGAGAAAGAAGGAGCUAAGAGGGAAAAAUAGAGGAUCUUGCAGAAAUUAGAGAGAAAUAAGACAUAAUGGCCCACUAUCCCAUUACUACCCAUUUCUGCACUGCACUGACAGGAGAGGAUAUUCCUGAAUUAAGAACCUGUCCAAAAAAUUUUAAAAUAAAUUUUAAAAAGCAACCUAAUUCCAAAAAGAGCUACUAUUAGAAGAACACAUACACACACAAAUGCGAAUCAUUACAGUUUAACUGAUGAGAAUUCUUAACCAAAACCAACCAAAGAGCAGAAGAAAACUGUAACCCAACAUUCCAAACUGAAGUAGUUAUCUUCAAACAAUGGGACGUAUUUAGAAAAAAAAAAAAACCCAGAAACAGAAAUUUGAUAACUAAGGCCAUAGUGGGCACAAAAUAGGAAGACAUGCAAUGAGUUGAUUGAGCUAUGGAAUGAAAUUCAAGAAAAAUACAAAAUCAUUUCAAAAAUGAAGAAUAGAUUACAAGGUAGUGAGGGAUAGUAGAUUUGAACAUUGAACAAUUUCAACAUUGAAAAGGGGCAGUAAAAUAACGAAGGGAAUAAAGAAGGAUGUAAACAGGGUUAAACACAAGUGAUUGGAAUGGAGGAUGGGCAAAUAGGAUCCAACAUACAUAUGAUAGGAGCUCCUGGAGAAGAAAAACAAAGCAAUGGAAUGGAACUGUAAUUCAAGAAAACUUUCCAGAAAGAAGAGAAAAUAUAAUGUAUGUAUUGAAGAGGCCCACUCUAUAUCUAGAAAAACUGACCUAGAGAGAAUAACUGAGAUAUUUUUAGUAAACUAUGAGGCUUUAAAGGUAAACACACACACACACACACACACACACACACACACACAGAUAAUCCUCAGGGCCUAUGUUAUUUUCCUGUGGCUGCUGUAACAAAUGCCCACAAACUUGGUGGCUUAAAAGAAUAGAAAUGUAUUAUUUCACUUUUGGCCAGAAGUCCAAAAUCAAAGUGUCAGCAGGGCUAUGUCCCCUCCAAAGCCUCCAGGGGAGGAUCCCUCCUUGCCUUUUCCAGCUUCCAGUGCCUCCAGGUGUUAUUUUGGCUUGUGAGUGCAUGACUCCAAACUCCACCUCUGUCUUCACAUGCACUUUUCCUCUUUAUCCCUGUCUCUUUCCUCUAUUGUCUCUCUCAAAUCCCCCCUGUGCCUUUCUCUUAUAGGAAUACUUGUCAUUGAAAUUAGGGCCCACCUGGAUAAUCCAUGAUGAUCUCAUCUCAAGAUCCUUAACUUAAUGACAUCUGCAGAGACUGGUUUAUCAAAUAAGGGACUGUGGCUAUAUCGCUGACCUCAAGAAAACCUGCGGACAAAAUCUGCUAAAGAAGUAUCAGCAUCUAUUUCAAAAGUUAGCCAUUAUUUUAAGAAGACUGUGCUGGAAGACGGGUAUUUAACACAAACAGAUGCAAAAGAUACGGGGUUUCACCGUGUUGACCAGACUGAUUUUGAACUUCUGGGCUCAAUCAGUCCACCUGCCUCGGCCUCCCAAAGUGCUGAGAUUAUAGGUGUGAGCCCCUGCGCCUGGCCAGGGAUGCCGUUCUUCACUCUCCACACUCCAACCAGCAAUGAAGGAGAUCUGAGGUCUCGGCAUCCUCAUUCACACCUGGUAUUGCCAGUUCUUUCUUUUUAAUGUUAGCCAUUCUCAUAGGUGUUUGUAUUUUCAACUUACACUUCCUUAAUUACUGAUGAUGUUGAUCUUUUCAUGUUUAAUAGGGUGGAAACAAAGUUAAACAGAUUUCUCUACGGCAGCAGGACUCAGAGCUUUUUUGAAUUGUCUGACGGGCAGAUUGCUGGGAAUUCUUUUUCUAUGGUCAAGUAAAGAUUACAAGGCUAGAAUUCCAGCGAAGCUAUUUUGGCAAAUACUGACCUACAUGAUUGAAGGGGUCCAGAAUAUGCCACCCCAAAAUAUGCCACUUUGACAUACGGCUUAUUUUGGGCUGCAAGCGAUUGAAAAUGAGCAGAUGCAGGAUGAAUCCUCUGCUCUCUUUUUCUACCUGAAACCAGGGCGUAACAUUCCCUUUGUGGAAGGUGUUCCUCGACUCCCAUAGCAGGAAGUGUAGAGCAACUCUUACCAUCAAAGAUGGACAGUCAGCAUUGAGAUGAGUCUGCAUAAACAAACUUUUUUUUUUAAAGUUUGUUCCAUUAAUCUCCCCCAUGUAUUUGCUAGUCACUUU
rnacentral:lncRNA from 10 species